rnacentral:rRNA from 1 species
UGCCUACGGGACGCAGCAGUCGAGAAUCAUUCACAAUGGGGGAAACCCUGAUGGUGCGACGCCGCGUGGGGGAAUGAAGGUCUUCGGGUUGUAAACCCCUGUCAUGUGGGAGCAAAUUAAAAAGAUAGUACCACAAGAGGAAGCCACGGCUAACUACGUGCCAGCAGCCGCGGUAAUACGUAGGUGGCAAGCGUUGUUCGGAAUAACUGGGCGUAAAGGAUGCGUAGGCGGUUAAACAAGUUAUAUGUUAAAUAUAUAGGCUUAACCUGUAGAAAGCAUAUAAAACUGUUUAACUAGAGUGCAGG